UACGGAGGGUGCAAGCGUUAGUCGGAAUUACUGGGCGUAAAGGGUGCGUAGGCGGGGACAUAAGUCAGAUGUGAAAUACUGAAGCUCAACUUCAGCUGUGCAUCUGAAACUGUGUUUCUAGAGGAAAAGCGGAGAAAACGGAAUUCCACGUGUAGCGGUGAAAUGCGUAGAUAUGUGGAAGAACACCAGUGGCGAAGGCGGUUUUCUAGCUUACUCCUGACGCUGAGGCACGAAAGCAAGGGGAGCAAACAGG
rnacentral:rRNA from 1 species